UUGUCAACAAAUGGAAGUGGAAGUGAAG
rnacentral:piRNA from 1 species